UUCGCAAUGCCCGAAAGGGUGAACGAGCGACGCCGCGUGCGGGAUGAAGGGUUUCGGCUUGUAAACCGCUUUUCUUUGGGAAGAAGGUCUGUCUCGUGAAGAUGGGCUCGACGGUACCAGAGGAAUAAGCCUCGGCUAACUCCGUGCCAGCAGCCGCGGUAAGACGGAGGAGGCGAGCGUUGUUCGGAAUUAUUGGGCGUAAAGGGCGCGUAGGCGGAUCGGUAAGUCUGGCGUGAAAUCUCCACCGCUUAACGGGGAGAGGUCGCUGGAAACUACCGAUCUGGAGUUCGGCAGAGGACCAUGGAAUUCCAGGUGUAGCGGUGGAAUGCGUAGAUAUCUGGAAGAACACCGGUGGCGAAGGCGGUGGUCCUGGACGUCUGCUGACGCUGAGACGCGAAAGCUAGGGGAGCAAACGGGAUUAGAUACCCCGGUAGUCCUAGCCGUAAACGAUGGGCACUAAGUAGAGGGGUUUU
rnacentral:rRNA from 1 species